AUUGAACGCUGGCGGCAGGCCUAACACAUGCAAGUCGAACGAGUAGCGGACGGGCGAGUAAUGCUUGAGCACCUAGCUUAUGGACGGGUCUAACUACGGGAAAACGUAGCUAAUAGCGCGUACCAUAGGAUGAGCCCAAGUGGGUUUAGGUAGUUGGUGUGGCAAAGGCUCAUCAAGCCGACGAUCUCUAGCUGGUCUGAGAGGCUGACCAGCCACACUGGGACUGAGACACGGCCCAGACUCCUACGGGAGGCAGCAGUGGGGAAUAUUGCGCAAUGGGGGCAACCUGACGCAGCCAUGCCGCGUGAAUGAAGAAGGCCUUCGGGUUGUAAAGUUCUGUCGGUAGCGAGGCGUUAACUACAGAGAAAGCACCGGCUAACUCCGUGCCAGCAGCCGCGGUAAUAC
rnacentral:rRNA from 1 species